GACGAACGCUGGCGGCGUGCUUAACACAUGCAAGUCGAACGGAAAGGCCCUGCUUUUGUGGGGUGCUCGAGUGGCGAACGGGUGAGUAACACGUGAGUAACCUGCCCUUGACUUUGGGAUAACUUCAGGAAGCUGGGGCUAAUACCGGAUAGGAGCUCCUGCUGCAUGGUGGGGGUUGGAAAGUUUCGGCGGUUGGGGAUGGACUCGCGGCUUAUCAGGUUGUUGGUGGGGUAGUGGCUUACCAAGGCUUUGACGGGUAGCCGGCCUGGGAGGGUGACCGGCCACGUUGGGACUGAGAUACGGCCCAGACUCCUACGGGAGGCAGCAGUGGGGAAUAUUGCACAAUGGGCGGAAGCCUGAUGCAGCAACGCCGCGUGCGGGAUGACGGCCUUCGGGUUGUAAACCGCUUUCGCCUGUGACGAAGCGUGAGUGACGGUAAUGGGUAAAGAAGCACCGGCUAACUACGUG
rnacentral:rRNA from 1 species